CUGAAGGAACUGAACUGGAAAAAUCUUGAAGAUACACAUAAACUGUCCUGAGAAAGUUUAUUAAUAAAGUUUCAAGAACCAGCUUCAAAUGAUUACUCUAGGAAUAUACUAUAACCCCUACAUAUCGCUCAGUUAGAUAUUGGGAAGAUAAGAUUAAAAUAAUUACAGCACACACAGAGGCAUUCAAAUGAUUGUUGCAAAUCUAACACACUUGCACGUACACGUAUAACGUCGAAUGAGCCAUGUCACACGACAACGGGUACAAGUUUCUACCUGUAGGCAUUGUUAUUAAUAUGAGACUGAUUGCUUUUCCCAUUCUAUAAUAAUCCAAUAUUUCAAAGCAAUUGAAAUUUUACAAAUGAACACUACUCAUUUAAAAAAAAUUAUUUGAAAACAAAAAUUCUAGUACUGCUGCUAUGGAAAACUGAUAUGCCAGUUUUUUUACCUGGUUAUUAGCAAAAAGUGAAAAAUAUCUGUUAUAAUUGAGACAAAAAAUACCGAUUAUUCAGAACUAAAAUAUUGUUAUUGGUUUUAACUGAUAUGUUUUUCCCCUCCCUAGGUGGAAUUGCUGUGAUGUAGUCAGUGACAUGAAACUACAACAGUGCGAUAAUCCGCUUGCUGAGUUUAACUGCUCCCAUGAGGCCUGUCAAGUGCUAUAACAUCGGUCAUGGACCAUAAAUGGUCUAUGUCGUCGGUAACCUCUGAGCAUGAAGUGAACUCUUAUGUGUCGCAACUCGAACUGCACAAGUUUGCUGUACAAUACCAGUGCUGCAGAGGUCCUGCUGCGCAAUGCCCUUGAACUGUGAACCAGCUUCUCCCAUGUGGACUUUGAUCUGCAGUGUCAUUGAUGUUGAAAGAGACUUUUUUUCUCCUUAGUGGAAUAAUACACCCAGAGAAGUUGAACUCAAUGGAUUUCCUAUAACAUACAAUCCUAACUUUUUGUAAUUAAUUGACUACUUAGGCUUAAAAUCCUGGCUAAAUGUUUGCACGAGUGUGUGUCUCAAGAAACAUGAACAAUUUUUGACAAUAAAAUCUUAACAUCA